AGCGAACGCCGGCGGCAGGCCUAACACAUGCAAGUCGAACGAACCUUUCGGGGUUAGUGGCGGACGGGAGAGUAACACGUGGGAACGUGCCUUUAGGUUCGGAAUACCUCAGGGAAACUUGUGCUAAUACCGAAUGUGCCCUUCGGGGGAAAGAUUUAUCGCCUUUAGAGCGGCCCGCGUCUGAUUAGCUAGUUGGUUGAGGUAAUGGCUCACCAAGGCGACGAUCAGUAGCUGGUCUGAGAGGAUGAUCAGCCACAUUGGGACUGAGACACGGCCCAAACUCCUACGGGAGGCAGCAGUGGGGAAUCUUGCGCAAUGGGCGAAAGCCUGACGCAGCCAUGCCGCGUGAAUGAUGAAGGUCUUAGGAUUGUAAAAUUCUUUCACCGGGGACGAUAAUGACGGUACCCGGAGAAGAAGCCCCGGCUAACUUCGUG
rnacentral:rRNA from 1 species